rnacentral:ncRNA from 1 species
GGAAGCCGGGUUACGGUGCCCAACUGCGCGCUAACCUAGAACCCACAAAGGGUGUUGGUCGAUUAAGACAGCAGGACGGUGGUCAUGGAAGUCGAAAUCCGCUAAGGAGUGUGUAACACAUCACCUGCCGAAUCAACUAGCCCCGNNNNNGGAUGGCGCUGAAGCGCGCGACCCACACCCGGCCAUCUGGGCGAGCGCCAUGCCCCGAUGAGUAGGAGGGCGCGGC